rnacentral:lncRNA from 1 species
UUCUGCGGAGAUUCAUUUCGUUUGAAGUCUGACGUUGCAAGUGUUUAGAAUAUAACAUGCCUUUUCUGUCAUAGGAGGACAUAAAUUUGUACUGUUUCAAAGGUUAAGGGAUUGAGCAAACAACAGUAUGCUAGGCUUAUACUUUUACAAAAGACGUUACUAAUCAGAUGCCCCGGCUCAAUAAUAGUUCGAGAUAACCUUGUUUUUAGAGAAUGAAUAUUUCACUGACAUUGUAAUGCAAGUCUUGACUGUCUAUCUUUUUUUUAAUCGGUUGGGUGAUCUUGAACAAUAUUGUAAGAAACUGACACUAAUUACACGGACAAAUGCAGCGGACAAGUGAAUGUGGAGGAUCAGCAAAUUAAACUCAGAAUCUUCGUCUUACAUUUGUCCAGCGCUACGAAGUCAGGGAUCGUGAUUCUCGUACUCAAAUUACAAUCAUUCGGAAAAGAGUUCUGUGUUAUGUAUGCUUUACAUUUGGCACACUAAAGAAUCAGAGAAGCUUCUAGACAUUGGAAUGCUUCCCGCCUCUUGCUAUCUUCUCGAGGGAUUGAAUGUAGGACGUUUUGGCUAGCGGACGUUUUGGCCUGGGCUCUUUUGGCGUAGGAUGUUUUGGCCAGUGACCACAACUUCCAGCACAUGGUUUCUGAGGAGAUGCUGUUUGAAGAAAAGUAAGGACGGACUGACGAUAGUGAGUGAUCAAAACAGCUUAACCCGAGUGACCUAAAAACAAAAUGAUCUUCAUAAAUUCUUGUAAUAGGACGGAGUAUUACCAGGUGUAAACAUGUGAAAAAGCCUGCUACAAGAAAGCUGCAAAGAAGUAAAGUAUAAACCAAUUAAUUUGGUUUAAUCUGAGUUAAAACGACAAAAAAUGAUUGUCUGGUAUACUACAGGAUUUGUUUUCUGAAUUUUUUUACAAAGUUUAAAAAAUCUGCUAUAGG